rnacentral:lncRNA from 10 species
AGAGUCUUGCUUUGUCACCCAGGCUGGAGUGUAGUGACGUGAUCUUGGCUCACUGCAACCUUCGCCUCCCGGGUUCAAGCAAUUCUUCUGCCUCAGCCUCCCGACAAGCUGGGACUAAAGGCGUGCACCACUAUGCCCUGCUAAUUUUUGUGUUUUUAGGAGAGACGGGGUUUCACCAUUUUGGCCAGGCUGGUGUCAAAUUCUUGACCUUGUGAUCUAUCCAUCUCAGCCUCCCAAAGUGCUGGGAUUACAGGCGUGAGCCACCGGGCCUGGCCAGCUUUCUCUUUCCAGAAGCUUUAUGGUUUCAGCUCUUACAUUUAAUUCUUUAAUCCAUUUUGAAUUAAUGUUUUUGUAUGGUGUAUAAUAAAAGUCCAAUUUUAUUCUUUUGCAUGGGGAUAUCCAGUUUUCCUAAUGCUGUUCCUUGAAAAGACUAUUCUUUCCCCAGUGUGUAUUUUUGACACCCUGUGGAAGAUCAGAUGACUGUAGGGGAAUAGAUUGAUUUCUGGGCUUUCUAUUCUGUUCCAUUUGGUUGAUGUAUCUGUUUUGAUGCCAGAACCUUACACUUCUGAUUACUGUAACUUAAUAAUAUAUUUUGAAACUGGAAAAAUACAAUGCCUCUAGCUUUGUUCUUGCUCAAGAUUUCUUUGGCUAGUCAGGAAAAUUUUGUGGUUCCAUAUGGACUUCCGGAUUUUUUUUAUUUAGGUGAAAAAUGUCAUUGGAAUUUUAAUGGGAAUUGCAUUGAAUUUGUAAAUUGCUUUGGUUGUAUGAACAUUUUAGCAAUAAUUCUUCCAAUUUAUGAACAUAGCAUGUCUUUCCACUUAUUUGUGUCUGCUUUACUUUUUUAUCAGCAUUUUAGAAUUUUCAGUGGGUAUGUCUUUACCCCCUUGGUUAAGUUUAUUCCUAAGUAUUUACAAAAUUUUUGACACUAUUAUAAAUGAGAUUUUCUUGAUUUCCUUAUCAGAUAAUUUGUUAGUAUAUGGAAAUAUCACUGAUUUUGGUAUGUUGAUUUUGCUGAAUUCAUUUUUAACAGUUUUUUUUUUUUCGAGUUUUUAGGGUUUUUGAUGUAUGAGAUCAUGUCAUCUGCAAACAGCAAGUUCUACUUCUCGAUUUCUGAUUUGGAUGGCUUUAUUUGUUUACUUUUGGUUUCAGGUUAGUGCAGAAAUGUGUUGGAAAGUGUUACUCC